GCCUGGGUGGUGCAGUGGUGGAGCACGCGUCCCCGGAUAGGAUGGAACACGGGUUCGAUUUCCGCCUGAGGUC